rnacentral:rRNA from 1 species
CCUACGGGAGGCAGCAGUGAGGAAUAUUGGUCAAUGGACGAGAGUCUGAACCAGCCAAGUAGCGUGAAGGAUGACUGCCCUAUGGGUUGUAAACUUCUUUUAUAUGGGAAUAAAAUGUUCCACGUGUGGGAUUUUGUAUGUACCAUAUGAAUAAGGAUCGGCUAACUCCGUGCCAGCAGCCGAGGUAAUACGGAGGAUCCGAGCGUUAUCCGGAUUUAUUGGGUUUAAAGGGAGCGUAGGUGGAUUGUUAAGUCAGUUGUGAAAGUUUGCGGCUCAACCGUAAAAUUGCGGUUGAAACUGGCAGUCUUGAGUACAGUAGAGGUGGGCGGAAUUCGUGGUGUAGCGGUGAAAUGCUUAGAUAUCACGAAGAACUCCGAUUGCGAAGGCAGUUCACUGGACUGCAACUGACACUGAGGCUCGAAAGUGUGGGUAUCAAACAGGAUUAGAUACCCGGGUAGUC